UACGUAGGGUGCAAGCGUUAAUCGGAAUUACUGGGCGUAAAGCGUGCGCAGGCGGUUCUAUAAGACAGAUGUGAAAUCCCCGGGCUCAACCUGGGAACUGCAUUUGUGACUGGCAAGCUAGAGUAUGGCAGAGGGGGGUAGAAUUCCACGUGUAGCAGUGAAAUGCGUAGAGAUGUGGAGGAAUACCGAUGGCGAAGGCAGCCCCCUGGGCCAAUACUGACGCUCAUGCACGAAAGCGUGGGGAGCAAACAGG
rnacentral:rRNA from 1 species